AUUGAACGCUGGCGGCAUGCUUUACACAUGCAAGUCGAACGGUAACAGGUUAAGCUGACGAGCGGCGAACGGGUGAGUAAUGCAUCGGAACGUGCCCGAUCGUGGGGGAUAACGCAGCGAAAGCUGCGCUAAUACCGCAUACGAUCUGAGGAUGAAAGCGGGGGACCGUAAGGCCUCGCGCGAUCGGAGCGGCCGAUGUCAGAUUAGGUAGUUGGUGGGGUAAAGGCUCACCAAGCCAACGAUCUGUAGCUGGUCUGAGAGGACGACCAGCCACACUGGGACUGGGACACGGCCCAGACUCCUACGGGAGGCAGCAGUGGGGAAUUUUGGACAAUGGGCGAAAGCCUGAUCCAGCAAUGCCGCGUGCAGGAAGAAGGCCUUCGGGUUGUAAACUGCUUUUGUACGGAGCGAAAAGGCUCUCUCUAAUACAGGGGGCUCAUGACGGUACCGUAAGAAUAAGCACCGGCUAACUACGUGCCAGCCGCCGCGGUAA
rnacentral:rRNA from 1 species